ensembl:lncRNA
CUUCUGAGAGCCAAGGCUAAGGGGUGACGUGUGAGCUGGCCUGUUUCCUGGGUCCCAUGUUUCCAGCAUCCUAUGUUUCUAGGGUCCUAAGCCUCCAUUGUCAUAUGUUUCCAAAGUUCUGUGUUCCAUGGAUUCUGUAUUUCCAGGGUCCUAUGUUUCCAAGGCCUUUGUUUGCAGGGUCCUAUGUUCCAAAGGUUUCUGUGUUUCCAGGGACCCAUCUUAUUAGGGUUCUACAUUUCCUGCUUCUGGUGUUUCUAGGUCCCUAAGUUUCCAAGGUCAUAUUUUUGAAGGGUCCUGUAUUUCCAGAGUCCUGUGUUUCCAGCAACCUGUUUUUGAAGGGUCCUGUGUUUCCAGGGUCCUAUUUUUUGAGGGGUCCUGUGUUUUCAGGGUCAUUUGUUUUCAAGGUCCUGUGUUUUCUGGGUCCUGAGUUUCCAACAUCCUAUUUUUUGAAGGGUCCUGUGUUUCUAGAGUCCUAUUUCUGUGAAGGGUCCUAUGUUUUCAGGAUCAUGUGUUUCCAAGGUUAUUUUUUGAAGGUUCCUGUGUUUCCAGGGUCAUGUGUUUCCAAGAUCCUGUGUUUCUAGGGCCCUCUGUUUCCAAGGUCCAACGUUUUUAGGGUCCUAAAUUUCCAGGGUCUGUUGUUUCUAGCUUUCUAUAUUUCCUAUGUCCUAUGCUUGUAGGGCCCUAUGUUUCCAGGGUGUGUUACACAUACACUUAUACAUAUUCAAAUAUUGUGUUCAAUAAAUAACACCUCAUGUUGUGAUUAUUAAAUCAGCUGUAGUUUCAACUUACAGUUCUUUUAAAGAAAUACUUUGUUGGAAGUUUUGCACAUAUCCUGCACAAUGCAUUAUUAAUUAUUAAACUUGCAGUUAAUUCAUUUUCUAAAGACUACAUUGCCAAAUGUGUAAAGAGUGACUAAUUAUGUGCCACAAUCCAAAAACAAAAUGUGAAUUUGUGGUUAUAUUUUUAAAAGGUUAGCUUUUUUUCUCCCAAAUUCCAGUGUAUAUACAAGAUCAUUUGAACAUUUUUGCUGAAUCAUAAGAUGAUCAGAUCUGUUGCUUACAGCUAUUAACAAAAAUACAGUGUCACUAUAUUAUUAAGUACUUGAAUAAAAAUGAUUGCAAGAGUUUUACAUUAAAAACAUAUAUAUUGUAAAGAUUUAAACAAUGUGCAUUCAAAAUACAUCCAGUAGUUUACUGUAAUGGUAUGUGUAAAAUGGUAAAAAUCUAUUUUUGUUGUGUGUCAACCAAAAACAAAAUAAAAUACGCAGCAAUAAAUUCAGAGGUAAACAUAUUUAUAAUGCUAUAUGUGAUCUAUGUGUGUGUAUGUGUUCCUGUGAAAUGUUGUAAGUGACCAUAUAUAAGUCCAUAUAAGUAAUUACAUCUAUUUUAGAU